CACGUAGUUAGCCGUGGCUUUCUGGUUAAGUACCGUCAUCUCAAGGCCAGUUACUACCUCAAGUGUUCUUCCUUAACAACAGAGUUUUACGAGCCGAAACCCUUCAUCACUCACGCGGCGUUGCUCCGUCAGACUUGCGUCCAUUGCGGAAGAUUCCCUACUGCUGCCUCCCGUAGGAGUCUGGGCCGUGUCUCAGUCCCAGUGUGGCCGAUCACCCUCUCAGGUCGGCUAUGCAUCGUCGCCUUGGUGAGCCACUAUCUCACCAACUAGCUAAUGCACCGCAGGCCCAUCCAUGAGCGGCAGAUAAAUCCGCCUUUUAACUUAACUGCUUAUGCAGGAAAGUCGUAUCCGGUAUUAGCUACCGUUUCCGGUAGUUAUCCCAAUCUCAAGGGUAGGUUGCCUACGUGUUACUCACCCGUCCGCCGCUCGAUCAUGAGGAGCAAGCUCCUCAAUCUCGCGCUCGACUUGCAUGUAUUAGGCACGCCGCC
rnacentral:rRNA from 1 species